GUACUGAGUGUAGGAACAAAUUUGCCUUGGUCCAGGACUCUACUCCCUCCAGAGCAGGGACAAAGGAACCAGGGCACCUUGGCAAGAAGUCAUGGAGAGACACCUGGGGGUUCUGCUGGGGCUUCUGUGGGCCCAGGUUUGCUGGCUGAGAGGGAUGAAGGUGGAGCAGAGUCCUUCAGCCCUGAGCUUCCAGGAGGGAACCAGCUCUACUCUGAGGUGCACCUUUUCUAAUACUAUGUACAAAGUUCUGUGGUUCCGACAGAAUCCUGGGGGAGACCUCAUCACUCUAUUUCACAUGAGUCCAGGGACGGAGCACAAUGGAAGGUUAAGUGCCACAGUGGAUACCCAGGACCUGUACAGUACCCUGAACAUCACAGCCUCCACACUGGAGGACUCAGCCACCUACCUCUGUGCAGCGGAUGCACAGUGCUGCCAGGUGAUCUGCAGCCUGUACCCAAACUGCAGCUGGGCCUGCAGCCCCACCCCUUCCACAGGCAGGCAUUGUGGCCUCACAUUUGGCUCUGCACAUCUUUGGGUUUUCAAAUAUAUGAUCCAAAACUUGUUUCUGUCCUAA